rnacentral:rRNA from 1 species
GGACCCGCACAAGCGGUGGAUUAUGUGGAUUAAUUCGAUGCAACGCGAAAAACCUUACCUACCCUUGACAUGUGCGGAACGGGACAGAGAUGUCCCGGUGCCCGAAAGGGAACCGCAACACAGGUGCUGCAUGGCUGUCGUCAGCUCGUGUCGUGAGAUGUUGGGUUAAGUCCCGCAACGAGCGCAACCCUUGCCAUUAGUUGCUACAUUCAGUUGGGCACUCUAAUGGGACUGCCGGUGACAAACCGGAGGAAGGUGGGGAUGACGUCAAGUCCUCAUGGCCCUUAUGGGUAGGGCUUCACACGUAAUACAAUGGCCGGUACAGAGGGAUGCCAACCCGCGAGGGGGAGCAAAUCCCAGAAAGCCGGUCGUAGUCCGGAUUGUUCUCUGCAACUCGAGAGCAUGAAGUCGGAAUCGCUAGUAAUCGCGGAUCAGCAUGUCGCGGUGAAUACGUUCCCGGGUCUU